UAGCGUAUAGACCGUACCCUAAACCGACACAGGUGGACUGGUAGAGUAUACCAAGGCGCUUGAGGGAACCAUGUUGAAGGAACUAGGCAAUUUACCCCCGUAACUUCGGGAUAAGAGGGCCUCUGGCGGUCUCGCCAGAGGGGCACAGACUAGGGGGUGGCGACUGUUUAACAAAAACACAGGGCUCUGCUAAGCCGUGAGGCGAAGUAUAGGGUCUGACGCCUGCCCGGUGCCGGAAGGUUAAGAGGAGAGGUUCACGCCUUGAAUUGAAGCCCCGGUAGACGGCGGCCGUAACAAUAACGGUCCUAAGGUAGCGAAAUUCCUUGUCGGGUAAGUUCCGACCUGCACGAAUGGCGUAACGACUUCCCCGCUGUCUCCAACAUGGGCUCGGCGAAAUUGAAUUCCCCGUGAAGAUGCGGGGUACCCGCAGUUAGACGGAAAGACCCCGUGCACCUUUACUACAACUUUGCAGUGGCAUUAGAGAUUGGAUGUGUAGGAUAGGCGGGAGCCUUUGAAGCUCGGGCGCUAGCUCGGGUGGAGGCACCCUUGAAAUACCGCCCUUUUGAUGUUUGAUGUCUAACCGCGGUCCGUUAUCCGGAUCCGGGACCCUGCAUGGUGGGUAGUUUGACUGGGGCGGUCGCCUCCCAAAGAGUAACGGAGGCGCGCGAUGGUGGGCUCAGGCUGGUCGGAAAUCAGCCGCUGAGUGCAAUGGCAUAAGCCCGCCUGACUGCGAGACUGACAAGUCGAGCAGUGACGAAAGUCGGCCAUAGUGAUCCGGUGGUUCCGCGUGAGUGGGCCAUCGCUCAACGGAUAAAAGGUACGCCGGGGAUAACAGGCUGAUACCACCCAAGCGUCCACAGCGACGGUGGUGUUUGGCACCUCGAUGUCGACUCAUCACAUCCUGGGGCUGGAGCAGGUCCCAAGGGUUCGGCUGUUCGCCGAUUAAAGUGGUACGUGAGUUGGGUUCAAAACGUCGUGAGACAGUUUGGUCCCUAUCUGCUGUGGGUGUUCGAGACUUGAGAGGAGCCGUCCUUAGUACGAGAGGACCGGGAUGGACUUACCUCUGGUGUACCGGUUAUGGCGCCAGCCGUAGCGCCGGGUAGCUAUGUAGUGAAGGGAUAAACGCUGAAAGCAUCUAAGCGUGAAACCCGCCUCAAAACUAGGUCUCGCUGAGAGUCGUGGUAGACCACCACGUUGAUAGGCCGCAUGUGCAAGUGCAGCGAUGCAUUCAGCUUAGCGGUACUAAUAGCUCGAA
rnacentral:rRNA from 1 species